rnacentral:lncRNA from 1 species
UCUUAAACCAUUUCUUUCUUCUGACCAAAACCAGAAUUUGCCAGUUACGGCACUAAUGCGUUUUCACCAUCCAUCAUUACACUCCUUCCAGGUGAUAUUCUUGCCUCAAUCAUGUGAUUCUGAUAGGGUUUCCCAUCACCCUCUCUCACUCCUAUCACUAUUUUAAUGCCAGUGAGGCCCUGGCCCAGCCAAUUAUAAAAUCCCUUUCCCUAGCCACAGUGGUCUUCUAUGGACACUCUCAGACUCUAAGUCACCCAGGGAUCUUUUAAUUUUGAGAUUAUGAUUCAGUAGAUGUAGGUAUACCUGAGAGUCUGCAUUUUUAACAAGCUCACAGAUGAUGUCUAUGUGGCUGAUCUGUAGAGAUCAAGAUGUAGGUAUCUCCCAGGGUGUAGGGUUGCACAUUUUUUUUUUCUGUGUUUGUGGGGAGGUCUCCUGGAUUGGCAAGAGAUUUUUUUUUUUAAUUUUUUUAUUCCAUAGGUUUUUGGGUAGCAGGUGGUAUUUGGUUACAUGAGUAAGUUCUUUAGUGGUGAUUUGUGAGAUUUUAAUGCACUCAUCACCCAAGCAGUAUACACUAAACCCAAUUUGUAGUCUUUUAUCCCUCACUCCCUUCCCACUCUUUCCCCCGAGUCCCCGAAGUCCAUUGUGUCAUUCUUAUACCUUCACAUCCUCACAGCUUAACUCCCACUUAUGAGUGAGAAUAUGUGAUGUUUGGUUUUCCAUUCCUGAGUUACUUCACUUAGAAUAAUAGUCUCCAAUUCCAUCCAGGUUGCUGUGAAUGCCAUUAAUUCAUUCCUUCUUGCGGCCGAGUAGUAUUCCAUGGUAUAUAUAUUCCACAGUUUCUUUACCCACUCAUUGAUUGGUGGGCAUUUGGGUUAGUUCCACAUUUUUGCAAUUGCAAAUUGUGCUGUUAUAAAUGUGUGUGUGCAAGUAUCCUUUUCAUAGAAUGACUUCUUUUCCUCUGGGUAGAUAUAGGGUUGCACUUUAACCAUACCAGUCCGGGUAGUCGACACAGAGGAAGCCAAGGGAUGGGAAGAGAAGGCAUAAUUCUGUUGUGCCUGGUACCAGUCCUGCCCCACUCCAGUUACACGGCCCAAUAAGUCUGCUUUUUGUUUAAAUAAGACUGAGUUGAAUUUCCUCAUUUACAACCAAAAGAAUUCAUAGGAUAUAGAUUUUCUUUUGAUAUAAGCUAAGUGUCCAAGCUGUUCUGGGCAUAGCUAUUCCUCAUCUGUUACAUUUGCAAACUACCUUCAAGAAUGAUGGCUUGUGACUCAUGAUUAUAAGAAAUAACUAGGAACAGAUGUAAUUCCUAAAUUACUUCUUACAUGUUGGAAAAUUCAUUUUUCUAUUACAUUAGUUAUUAUCUAAGUAAAGCUAAUACAUUGUCUUUUAGGGUUACUUGCUGAUCAAUUGAGUGAAAAAAAUUGUAUUAAUUAGAAAUUUUUAUUCCCACUCUUCUGGCUUCCUGUAAGUAGAUACCUAUUGACUUCUCUGUAAGUGAAUAUACUUCUGGAACUAGGAAAACCCAACUCCAGUCUACUGUGGAGUACAGACAUUUGUGAGCUAAAUUCAUAUUUGAAAUGACAUGCGGAUAGGUUUAUGAUCCUAAAAUUCUACCAAGUUUAUAUGUUUCUACAUACUACACUUAUCUGUAAAAGUGUAAACCAAUUGUUUUUAACUCACGUUAAAGAUAAGUUGAGAUCAUUUUGCAUUUUCAAACAUUAGGGUCUCUAUUAACUGCAUUGUCAGUUAAAAAGGUCCUCCUCUAUUCAUUACUAAUCAGCCUUGGAGAAUAGAUGGCUGGCAAUUUCAAAGACAAGGUGAAGUGAACACUUGGAGAAAUCUUCUUAGUGAAAAAUGAUUCAUUGUUUUGAGAGGCAAUAAUGUCACAGUCCUCUGAGACAAAAAGAGAAUCCUUACUACAAGAACAAAUAGUAAUUAGCAAAUUUGCAAAGCAUGGUCGUUAUCCUUUUGUUACAGCAAUUUAUUUUUAGUCCAAGCGACAGUUUAUUAGAGCGUUCAUUUUAGGAAGCUAGGAUAAAUUAAGACAGCAAAGCAACUUUACCAGUUCAGCUCUACAGCCCAACCUUGAUAUGCUUCUUCCUCCUGGAGGCCUUACCUGUUCCCUUGGGAUCAAGUAAGAGGCUUUGUGAAGGUUCCCACAGCAUCCUAAUCCCCAACCCCCAUCAUUAUUCUCUGAACCACACCACACUGGUUCACUUUUCUGAAAGCCUCCUUGCCUCUCUUCAACCCCUCCUCACAGUGCAGUGUUUUGCACUGUUUGUGUUUUAAAUAUUUGUUUAUGAGAUGGACAAGAAAGUUGGAAGAUGCUGCAUUACAGUCAAUGUAAUUCACUAAAUAAGGGCCACCUUAUGUUUUUAAGUUGCUUGCAUGGCGCUGAUGCAAUCUGCUUUGAGAAAAUGUUAUGCUUCAUUGAGCUUUUUUUAAUGUAAUAUGGAAAGGUUUUGUUUCUCCUAUAUGAAAAAAAAAACUACCCAAUGCUGCUGAAUUUGGCAUUAAAAGUCAUUGGUGGCGUUCUUUCAUUCAAAAAAACUUCAAAAACAAAGCCAUAGCGAAGGGUUUAAUAGUAUUGAUAAAGUAAAGAACAAGUACCUUUUAAACACUGUCUCAAGGUAAAGGAAGGCACUUUGUGUUAGUUUUUUUCUGCUAUUAAAUUAUAUCAACAGCUACCACUAGAGGGCGCUUGGCCUCUUUUUAUUUUUAGUAAACCAACUGCUGCUUUGAAAUGGCACCUACUGCCUUCACAUAUUACUGUAUCCAUAAGCUGGUAUUUCCAUUCUUCACUGUAUGUGCGAGUUACUUUAUUCUUAAAUGUUAUAUUACUCCUCACAUAUUUCAUCUCUAUAAGCCAAUGAUUUCGUUCAUGUUUAUUGAAUAC